rnacentral:misc_RNA from 1 species
AAGUCGUAACAAGGUUUCCGUAGGUGAACCUGCGGAAGGAUCAUUAACACAUCCCCAAAAAACCACAUAUCCAAUUUCCUUUGGAUAUUUGACCCCCUUUAAACGUGAACUCUGUUAGGAAGUGCAUCAUAGCUCUGCUCUGCUCCUUUUUUCUUUCUUCAAAACAAUUAUUUUUUAUUUUGCUUGCUGGCUUGCUUGCUUGCGAGCGAAUAAGAAUAAGAAUACGAAUGAGAAAAAAAACAGAAAAGAGCUCCCUGACCGCUUCCGCUUUUUUUCUCCUUUUUCCUUUCAAAACAAAAACCCAAUUGAAUUUUUGACUGAACCUUGUUUUUUCUCCUUUAGAUGGGGGAAAUACAUCUAAGAAAAUGUUUGAAACAACUCUUAGCAACGGAUAUCUUGGCUCUC